rnacentral:rRNA from 1 species
GCGGCGGACGGGUGAGUAACGCGUGGGUAAUCUGCCUCAAACAGGGGGAUAACACAGGGAAACUUGUGCUAAUACCGCAUAAGACCCCACCAUGGCAUCAUGGAGAGGUCAAAGGAAGAAAUUCCGGUUUGAGAUGAGCCCGCGUCUGAUUAGCUAGUUGGUGAGGUAACGGCUCACCAAGGCGACGAUCAGUAGCCGAACUGAGAGGUUGAUCGGCCACAUUGGGACUGAGACACGGCCCAGACUCCUACGGGAGGCAGCAGUGGGGAAUAUUGCACAAUGGGGGAAACCCUGAUGCAGCGACGCCGCGUGAAGGAAGAAGGCCCUCGGGUUGUAAACUUCUUUGACCAGGGACGAAGAAAGUGACGGUACCUGGAGAACAAGCCACGGCUAACUACGUGCCAGCAGCCGCGGUAAUACGUAGGUGGCGAGCGUUGUCCGGAAUUACUGGGUGUAAAGGGCGUGUAGGCGGGUUCUUAAGUCAGAUGUGAAAUUCCGGG